rnacentral:rRNA from 1 species
GACGAACGCUGGCGGCGUGCCUAACACAUGCAAGUCGAGCGAAUAAAGUUCCUUCGGGAACGGAUUUAGCGGCGGACGUGUGAGUAACACGUGGGCAACCUGCCUCAUAGAGGGGAAUAGCCUUCCGAAAGGGAGAUUAAUACCGCAUAAGAUUGUAGUAUCGCAUGGUACAGCAAUUAAAGGAGCAAUCCGCUAUGAGAUGGGCCCGAGGCGCAUUAGCUAGUUGGUAAGGUAACGGCGCACCAAGGCGACGAUGCGUAGCCGACCUGAGAGGGUGAUCGGCCACAUUGGGACUGAGACACGGCCCAAACUCCUACGGGAGGCAGCAGUGGGGAAUAUUGCACAAUGGGGGAAACCCUGAUGCAGCAACGCCGCGUGAUUGAUGACGGCCUUCGGGUUGUAAAGCUCUGUCUUCAGGGACGAUAAUGACGGUACCUGAGGAGGAAGCCACGGCUAACUACGUGCCAGCAGCCGCAGUAAAAC